UACGUAGGGUGCGAGCGUUAAUCGGAGUUACUGGGCGUAAAGGGCGCGUAGGUGGUUGUUUAAGUGAGAUGUGAAAGCCCUGGGCUUAACCUAGGAACUGCAUCUUAUACUGGGCAACUGGAGUACUGGUAGAGGGUAGUGGAAUUUCCGGUGUAGCGGUGAAAUUCGUAGAUAUCGGGAGGAACACCUGUGGCGAAGGCGGCCACCUGGACGACAACUGACGCUGAGACGCGAAAGCGUGGGUAGCAAACAGG
rnacentral:rRNA from 1 species